GGGGUCUUCGUGCAUUGUACUGUUGAGGGGGUGCUGUGUGUGUUGCUGAAAGGUCCCUCUUACUAAUCGUGGGUUGUGUCCUUGCCCAGCACCUGCCUUUUAUCCUGAUUCCCUAAAUAAAGAAUAUGGAACAGGCCUUCUGCUGCUAUGAAUCUUCCCAGGGAAAUCACUGAUGUUUGAUCUCAAGAUAAAGGAAAUUUAAGAGUUUCCAGAUUGUCCCAGACCUGCCCACAUCUGCCCUCACCAGUGGACAGCUUUGCCUAGGGAUUGCUAGUUGUAGGACCAGUUUCUCACUGACUCCAAAUCCAGUUUAUUUCAAGGAAGAAGAUAUACAAACAACUGAAUUAAGACCAGAACAUUAAGAAGAGUUAAACCCUACAGACAAUUGCAAAUCUGGAACUGGCAGCUAAUCUGUGGUGUUCUGCAGAAUGAUGAUGCCUCAGAGCCCCAGCCAUGGACUAGGACACCCUUGUGCUAGAUUUUGGACAGACAGUUAAGAGAAUCAUUGACCCCCCACUUGGUGCCUGAACAGAGUGAGAGGCUGGAGGAGACCUAUGGAUGGAUACAGAGAUUAGCAGAAGUUGAUAAAGAGGACAGAAACAGCUCACUGAAACACAGAACCUCAAAGGAAGAGGAGUCAGAGGCUGGCCAGAUCUCAAACGGAGCCACAUCUGCUGCAGAACUGCUUGUGGGGCAUGUGAAGACCAUUUGUCAGGGGAGACUGAGGUAGUAGCCACGUCCUGAUGGUGCAGCUGAUGGAAAGGUCUGUGAAGAUUGAAUGGCCACCAUUUGCUUUCCUGUGUCGGUUCUGGAGCAUCAGCAGAUUGUAGAGCAACUGGCUACUCCUGGGUGGCUCAAUCUUCUGGUGGCUCUGAGACACAUUAAAGGAGCUAAGCUGCCUUGUGCGUUGCAGAAGCCAGGGGCUAACUACUGUAUACUUUGACCACGGCGGAGUGGCCUCCUUCAGGGUGUUGCUUUGGGGCCUAUACCCAGCAGGUGGGUUACGAAUAGUGGCACUGUGGGAUGUAAGAUUCCUGGUACCGUGUGUGUAGACAUCCUAAACCCAGAAACUCUCUCAGGGGAAGAGGACAAGAGGGGAUGGGUCUCGUCCCUGUCCAGUUGAGACCUGUGUAAAUUUAGGGCACUGUACAUGUUUUAUUGCAAUAAAACUAUAUUCAGGUAACUAGAUGUCUAUUAACAGAUGAGUCAUGUCACUUAUUCUUGACAGUGGACAUUCUCUGAUAAUGACAGCAACUAGCAGCAUUAUGCUGAAGAGACUUUGGUCGAUGCAGUUGCCAUGGCUGUGAGGUGACAUUUGUUCAUUAUAAUGGCUACUGAAAGACCAGGUAAUGGGCACUUCACUGCUAACAACUUAACAGGACUUGCUUAUCGCUGGGGGCUGGAGGCAAAAGAUUUUACCAGCAGAAAGAACAAUUAUCAAAGUGUGAAAUGUGGCUUGCUGUUUUCUUCAGGUGCUUGGUGUACAUGUAUAAUUAGUAGCUAGGUGUCAUUGUUUAUAACUCCAUAACUUGCCUCUUAAACUUCUCUGAUUACACAUAUGCCUAUACACCCUCCCCGCAAUGCCCCUAGUAUUUUGUGUGCAGCAGAAAUUGGAAGCCAUGAAUAAAGUUAAAGAAACC